CAGAAGCGUUUUUGGAUUUUGGAAUACUCGAAAUUAUACUUACUGGUUGAGCAUCCCUCAUCUGAAACUCUGACAUCUGAAAUACUUCAAUGAGCAUUUCCUUUGGGCAUCAUGUUAAUGUUCAAAAAGAUUAUAAGAGAAAAUAGUAUCUCUCUCAGUGAAAUCGAAUUGCCGUGCUCAGAGGAUUUGAAUUUGGAAACUUUGUCCCAAGCACAUGUCUACAUAAUUGCAGGAGCCUGCUUGUCUCUGGGUUUUCGAUUUGCUGGCUCAGAAAACUUAUCAGCAUUUAACUGUUUGCAUAAAUUUGCCAAAGAUUUUAUGACUUAUUUGUCCGCACCUAAUGCUUCUGUUACAGGUCCUCAUAACCUAGAAACUUGUCUGAGCGUGGUGCUGCUGUCUCUCGCCAUGGUCAUGGCUGGCUCAGGAAACCUAAAGGUUUUGCAGCUUUGUCGCUUCUUACACAUGAAAACGGGUGGUGAAAUGAACUAUGGUUUUCACUUAGCCCACCACAUGGCCCUUGGACUUCUAUUUUUGGG
rnacentral:lncRNA from 10 species